UUUAGAAUCAGUAUAUCUGGAGACGUUGCCGAUACAAAUAGUGUUCUAGAUUCAUAUAUAGUCAACAGUGAUAACCGUAAAAUGGUGGAUCAUGGUUUACGAAUCAAGGAAUUAUUGAAAAAUAUGGAGACCAAAAAAUUUUAAAAAAUAAUCCAUGAAUGUAAAAAUAAGAGUAUUGAAAUCGUAGUAUAUUUACUGAUGAAAGUAAAUUUAACAUAUUUAUAUCGGAUGGACUAUUUGGAGUGAAAAAAAUACCGAAUAUAAGUAAAACUAUUUCUAGACGUCUAUAAAGCAUGGAAAAGGUAACAGUUCGGAGCUGCAUGAAUACAAACGUGUUUGGAUUUCUUUAUUUUAUUGAUGGUAACAUGGACCAUAAAUUCAUAUUAAUAUUUUAAAACAACAUCUUCUAGCUAAUGCAAAUAAAAUUGUAUUACAAGACAAUUAUAUAUUUUUUUACAAGAUAAUAAUCUAAAACUCGCUUACAAUAUGCGACAAUGGAUCUUGUAUAAGAUACCAAAUUAAUUAAAAAUACCAUGCAUAAUCUUCAGACUUGAAUGCUUAUGGGAUUAUCUCGAGGAAAAAAUAAUUUC